GGAAUAUUGGACAAUGGGGGGAACCCUGAUCCAGCCAUGCCGCGUGUGUGAAGAAGGCCUUUUGGUUGUAAAGCACUUUAAGCGAGGAGGAGGCUCCCUAGACUAAUACUCUAGGAGAGUGGACGUUACUCGCAGAAUAAGCACCGGCUAACUCUGUGCCAGCAGCCGCGGUAAUACAGAGGGUGCAAGCGUUAAUCGGAUUUACUGGGCGUAAAGGGUACGUAGGUGGUCUUUUAAGUCGGAUGUGAAAUCCCUGAGCUUAACUUAGGAAUUGCAUUCGAUACUGGGAGACUAGAGUAUGGGAGAGGAUGGUAGAAUUCCAGGUGUAGCGGUGAAAUGCGUAGAGAUCUGGAGGAAUACCGAUGGCGAAGGCAGCCAUCUGGCCUAAUACUGACACUGAGGCACGAAAGCAUGGGGAGCAAACAGGAUUAGAUACCCCUG
rnacentral:rRNA from 1 species